UACGAGGGGGGCGAGCGUUGUUCGGAAUUAUUGGGCGUAAAGAGCUCGUAGGCGGUUUGUCGCGUCUGCCGUGAAAGUCCGGGGCUCAACUCCGGAUCUGCGGUGGGUACGGGCAGACUAGAGUGCAGUAGGGGAGACUGGAAUUCCUGGUGUAGCGGUGAAAUGCGCAGAUAUCAGGAGGAACACCGGUGGCGAAGGCGGGUCUCUGGGCCGUAACUGACGCUGAGGAGCGAAAGCAUGGGGAGCGAACAGG
rnacentral:rRNA from 1 species